UUCUUGAGUUUUAUGAGGUAGUAUUGCCCUGUUUUUUCAAUUAAAUCGUAUAAUUUGGGGGUCGCAAAGCCACUAUCCAUUCGAAAGAGAAGUUGAUUAAACCGUUCUAAAACAGGUGUGAUAAAGCUGUCUGCCUCUUCAGAACAAUAACGAUUACCAG
rnacentral:rRNA from 1 species